rnacentral:rRNA from 1 species
CCUACGGGUGGCAGCAGUGGGGAAUAUUGGACAAUGGGGGGAACCCUGAUCCAGCGACGCCGCGUGAGUGAAGAAGUAUUUCGGUAUGUAAAGCUCUAUCAGCAGGGAAGAAAGAAAUGACGGUACCUGACUAAGAAGCCCCGGCUAACUACGUGCCAGCAGCCGCGGUAAUACGUAGGGGGCAAGCGUUAUCCGGAUUUACUGGGUUAAAAGGGGGCGCAGGCGGAGGUGCAAGUCAGCGGUCAAAUUGCGGGGCUCAACCUCGUACUGCCGUUGAAACUGCAUCCCUUGAGUGCGGGAGAGGUAGGCGGAAUGCGUGGUGUAGCGGUGAAAUGCAUAGAGAUCAGGCAGAACUCCGAUUGCGAAGGCAGCAUACCGGCGCGCAACUGACGCUCAUGCACGAAAGCGUGGGUAUCGAACAGGAUUAGAUACCCGGGUAGUC